AACAUUUUUUAUUAAAUUUUUAUAAAUAAAAUCUGCUCAAUGAAUUAUUUUAAAUAGCCGCAAAUAUUGUGCUAAGGUAGCAUAAUCAUUUGUUUUUUAAUUAAAAACUAGAAUGAAAGAUUUUACAUUUUAAUUUCUUUAUUAAAUAUUAAUAUAAAUUUAUAUUAAAUAUAAAAAUAUAUUUAUAAUAUAAAAAGACGACAAGACCCUAUUAAAUUUUACUUAUUGUUUAGCUGGGGCAGCUUUUUAAAAAAAAUUUUAAAUUAUAUAUAUAUAUAUAUAUAUAUAAAUCUAAUAUAAUUAAAUUUAAUCAAUUACUAUAGGGAUAACAGCGUUAUAUUUUUUUCAAGUUCAUAUUUAAAAAAAUUAUUGCGACCUCGAUGUUGAAUUAUAUUUUCUUUAUUAAUGCAACAAUUAUAAAAGUAGGUSUGUUCGACCUUUAAAAUAUUACAUGAUCU
rnacentral:rRNA from 1 species